UACGUAGGGAGCAAGCGUUGUUCGGAUUUACUGGGCGUAAAGGGCGCGUAGGCGGCAAAUUUAAGUCAGCUGUGAAAUCCGUCCGAGCUUAACUCGGAACGGUCAAGUGAUACUGACUGUGCUAGAGUGCAGGAAGGGGCAAGUCGGAAUUCUUGGUGUAGCGGUGAAAUGCGUAGAUAUCAAGAGGAACACCUGAGGUGAAGACGGGUUGCUGGGCUGACACUGACGCUGAGGCGCGAAAGCCAGGGGAGCAAACGGG
rnacentral:rRNA from 1 species